GAGCCGUGUGGUGAGCACGGAGCGAACUAUUAUUUCGCCUUUUACUAAAGAAUACCGUGUGCUCGCCACUCAAAUAGGCAUACGCCUAUUUUUCGAGGGCUACUCUCUAUUGAGUUA
rnacentral:snRNA from 1 species